rnacentral:pre_miRNA from 1 species
AUUCUACUCCCUCCGUUGCACAAUACAUGCCUUCUAUUUGUCAAAAUAUAUGUGUAUCUAGACAUGUUUUAGUAUAUAGGUACAUCCAUUUUUGGACAAAUGGAAGUCAAGUAUUUUGGAAUGGAGGGAGUACACA